CUUGACUCCUUCCUGGUGUACUCCUUGGUAUUUGCUUUAGAACUUUUAGUGAACCGAAAUGAGUAAGCCACACACUUCCAGGAAUAGGCCCUUAGGUUUAGUUUCUCGCUUUGGGCGCUCUGCUAUGUACAGGAAGCGGGCAUUAUACAAAAAACAGAAGCCUAAAACUGCUCUGAUUAAAAAGGUGCUCGAGAAAGCCGAGAUUUAAGCCUCUGGGCAGUGAAAAAAGUGGAGGCCUACGUGUCAUUUCUGCACAAAAGAAGUG